GAUGAAGAACGCAGCGAAAUGCGAUAAGUAAUGUGAAUUGCAGAAUUCAGUGAAUCAUCGAAUCUUUGAACGCACCUUGCGCCCUUUGGCCAUUCCGAAGGGCAUGCCUGUUUGAGUAUCAUGAACACCUCAACUCUCAUGGCUCGCCAUGAUGAGCUUGGAUUUGGGGGUCUUGCUGGCCUGUGGUCGGCUCCUCUCAAAUGGAUCAGCUUGCCAGUGUUUGGUGGCAUCACAGGUGUGAUAACUAUCUGCGCUUGUGGUUUUCCAUCAGAUAACCUUCAGUGAUGGAGGUUCGCUGGAGCUCAUAAACGUCUCCCCUAAGCGGGGACAGCCCUUUGAAUGUUUGAUCACAAAUCAGGUAGGACUACCCGCUGAACUUAAGCAUAUCAAUAAGCGGAGGA
rnacentral:misc_RNA from 1 species